rnacentral:rRNA from 1 species
AUACGUAGGUGGCAAGCGUUGUCCGGAAUUAUUGGGCGUAAAGCGCGCGCAGGCGGUCCUUUAAGUCUGAUGUGAAAGCCCACGGCUCAACCGUGGAGGGUCAUUGGAAACUGGGGGACUUGAGUGCAGAAGAGGAAAGUGGAAUUCCAAGUGUAGCGGUGAAAUGCGUAGAGAUUUGGAGGAACACCAGUGGCGAAGGCGACUUUCUGGUCUGUAACUGACGCUGAGGCGCGAAAGCGUGGGGAGCAGACAGGAUUAGAUACCCUGGUAGUCCACGCCGUAAACGAUGAGUGCUAAGUGUUAGGGGGUUUCCGCCCCUUAGUGCUGCAGCUAACGCAUUAAGCACUCCGCCUGGGGAGUACGGUCGCAAGACUGAAACUCAAAGGAAUUGACGGGG